UACGGAGGGUGCAAGCGUUAAUCGGAAUUACUGGGCGUAAAGCGUACGUAGGCGGCUUGUUAAGCAAGAUGUGAAAUCCCCGGGCUCAACCUGGGAAUGGCAUUUUGAACUGGCAGGCUCGAGUUCUGAAGAGGGUGGUAGAAUUUCCAGUGUAGCGGUGAAAUGCGUAGAUAUUGGAAGGAAUACCGGUGGCGAAGGCGGCCACCUGGCUGAUAACUGACGCUGAGGUGCGAGAGCGUGGGGAGCAAACAGG
rnacentral:rRNA from 1 species